UAUCUCUGUAGAGUCUGCAUAUCAAUAAGCGGAGGAAAAGAAACUAACUAGGAUUCCCUCAGUAACGGCGAGUGAAGCGGGAAGAGCUCAAAUUUGAAAUCUUCAAGGUUCUACCUUGACGAAUUGUAGUUUAAAGAAGUGUUUUCUGUUGGAGUUUUGGUAAAAGUUCUUUGGAAUAGGACAUCAUAGAGGGUGAGAAUCCCGUAUUUGACCAUUAUUUCCAGCUUUGUGAUACACUUUCAAAGAGUCGGAUUGUUUGGGAAUGCAGUCCAAAAUGGGUGGUAAAUUUCAUCUAAAGCUAAAUAUUGGCGAGAGACCGAUAGCGAACAAGUACCGUGAGGGAAAGAUGAAAAGAACUUUGAAAAGAGAGUUAAACAGUACGUGAAAUUGUCAAAAGGGAAGCGUUUGACACCAGUGUUGUUUUCUCGAAAAUCAAUUAAAAAUGCAUGAUUUUGUGUUGUAUUGACCUUUAUCAAGCUUUCUGCACUCUUUUCAUUGUCUUUUUUAAUGCACUUUUCGUUUAACAAGUCAACAUCAGUUUCUUUUGUUGUAAAAGGGUCAUUGGAAGGUGGCUUUCUUUUCGGAGAAAGUGUUUAUAGCCUUUGGCCUCUGCAAUCGGAGAGAUUGAGGUCUGCAGCGUAGAUCCUUCGGGGUUAGAUACAUUUGUGCUAAGUUAUAGCCUUUCAUAGACAACUUGUUGACUAUGAUCAGUCAUGUAGCUUACUCGCUUAUGCUAUUUUACCUACGCUUAGGAUGUUGAGUCAUCACACAUCUCU
rnacentral:rRNA from 1 species